GAGCCCACAGCUGCUGUUGCAGCUCCUGUCCUUGACCUGUACCUGGCCAGCUUGUUCACCACUAGAACCCAGGGAAGCCACCCACACUGCUAGAUAUACACAGAAAUGCAGAAUAACCCUCCCCUCAGACAAAUAAUACGAACAGCCCACACACAAACAUACCCAUAAUCCACACAAACGCAACACCACUAACAUUCCACAUACAUGCACACAACCCUACAGGCAGCCUCUCACAUGUAAUACCACAAAC